UGCCCCGGCACCAGCUGCGAAGAAGGCCCCGGCGAAGGGCAAAAAGGCUGUGAAGGGCAAGA
rnacentral:rRNA from 1 species